rnacentral:rRNA from 1 species
GCUAAACGCGAAGAACCUUACCAGGUCUUGACAUUCAGAGAACUUUCCAGAGAUGGAUUGGUGCCUUCGGGAACUCUGAGACAGGUGCUGCAUGGCUGUCGUCAACUCGUGUCGUGAGAUGUUGGGUUAAGUCCCGUAACGAGCGCAACCCUUAUCCUUAGUUACCAGCACGUUAUGGUGGGCACUCUAAGGAGACUGCCGGUGACAAACCGGAGGAAGGUGGGGAUGACGUCAAGUCAUCAUGGCCCUUACGGUCUGGGCUACACACGUGCUACAAUGGUCGGUACAGAGGGUUGCCAAGCCGCGAGGUGGAGCUAAUCUCACAAAACCGAUCGUAGUCCGGAUCGCAGUCUGCAACUCGACUGCGUGAAGUCGGAAUUGCUAGUAAUCGCGAAUCAGAAUGUCGCGGUGAAUACGUUCCCGGGUCUUGUACACACCG